rnacentral:rRNA from 1 species
GUAGUCAUAUGCUUGUCUCAAAGAUUAAGCCAUGCAUGUCUAAGUAUAAGCAAUUAUACCGCGAAACUGCGAAUGGCUCAUUAAAUCAGUUAUCGUUUAUUUGAUAGUACCUUACUACAUGGAUAACCGUGGUAAUUCUAGAGCUAAUACAUGCUAAAAAUCCCGACUUCGGAAGGGAUGUAUUUAUUAGAUUAAAAACCAAUGCCCCUCGGGGCUCUCUGGUGAUUCAUAAUAACUUCUCGAAUCACACGGCCUUGCGCCGGCGAUGGUUCAUUCAAAUUUCUGCCCUAUCAACUUUCGACGGCUGGGUCUUGGCCAGCCGUGGUGACAACGGGUAACGGAGGAUUAGAGUUCGAUCCCGGAGAAGGAGCCUGAGAAACGGCUACUACAUCCAAGGAAGGCAGCAGGCGCGCAAAUUACCCAAUCCCGACUCGGGGAGGUAGUGACAAUAAAUACUGAUACAGGGCUCUUUUGGGUCUUGCAAUUGGAAUGAGUACAAUUUAAAUCCCUUAACGAGGAACAAUUGGGGGGCAAGUCUGGUGCCAGCAGCC